rnacentral:lncRNA from 1 species
AACAGCUUCACAAAACAACGGCAAAACCCAAUGCACCGACAAAAACACAGUCAACGACAAUUGACCUAUCUCCAACUACCUGACCAGUGGUGACCCAUCCAAACGCAAACCCAAUCUGAUUUCAAGGCAUACAAAACAAACCCGUAAGAGAUAAACCUCAGUAAUGAUUAUUAGCAAUGGUCAAUUCUAGCUCAUAGGAAUAACACCUCAUUAUUUGUCCUUUCUACUCCAAAUUCGUAUCAUACGUGUCUUGAAUUUCCUUAAUCUCCAAAGAUAUUGUUUGAAUUUCAAAUUUUCAAAAUCAAUUUCCCCUAAAAUCCAUGGAACCUAUAUAAUAUUCCGACAAUUUCAACCUGUUGUUUUUCCAUUGUUCAAUUGUAAGGGAAAGGAUGAUGACCCCUUUCAUCAUCGUCUAUUUUUGUAGAGAUUGAUUCAUGGCCGUGCAAUUUAGGUUUUUUUACCCAAAUCCCAUAUCGAUGGGAAUUCGUCCCUCAAUUUGCCUCUAUAUAAGGAGCUCACUGUUGAGCUUGGAGGGGGGUUGAAAAAAUUUCCACAAAGCAGAAACACACAAAAAAGGAAAAAAAAUUGGUCGCAAGAAUAGGCGAGAAUUUCCGUCAGUAAAAUUUUUAGGAAAGGUAGUCUACUAGUUGAUACUUUCACAGCGGCAUUGAAUUUUUUGGUGGUGGUGUAGUCCAAAGGGGCUUGAGGUUCCGUUUUACUGCACUCGAACUGGUAAUAUCCCAUUUCGUUGAGCAUUUAAUUGCUUCUGCUUCAUCUUGACCUUCUGCAGUUGUAAGUCUUUAGUAAUAUUAUAUGCUGGGUUAUUUGAUGGUAGAUGGAUUUAAUAGCCAUAGGUUUCAUUCGUGAUAGUUAUAGUCAUAUCGAUAUUUGAAUCAAUGUGUACGAUGUUACUGUGUAGUACUGAUAAGGACAUGUUCUUCACCAACACACGUUAAAUCCACUAUUUUUAUCUAUGUUCUUUCUUUUGAUUUAUGGCAUGUUAUAUGGUCUGAGCAACAUUUGUUGAUGGAUUUUUUAUCAAAUACUCUCAUUUUGUAUACUAUUUGAGAUUUGAAUAAGAUGGUUUCACAGUAAAGUUUCAUGCUUUGAAUUUAUUUAGUAGUUUCAUAAUAAAGUUUCAUGCUUGAAGUUUUUGGUAGUUUCAGGCUAAGCUGGUUUCAUAGCUAAAUUUCCAUGCUUUGACGCAUUUGAUAGUCUCGAACUGAUAGUCGUCUUGAUUUAUUGUUACAUAUGAGGUUGUCUACCUUUCCAUUUUUAGUUUGUUAGUUGUGCCCUUUGAUAUCAAAAAUCUGAAAUUUAGAUUUCUGUUUGCUUUAGAUUUGUGUAUUCUGAUUAUAAAGUAAACUUGAUAGUGUUUUAUUGAAUUGUCAGAUACUUGAAUGGGUUAGUUUGAAGAGAAUGUCUCUACUUUUAUUUCUAUUACUCUAUAUGCGUAGUUUAUGUUUGGGCUGGGGAUUCCUCGAGAUUUCUUUUUCUUGGUCAAUAUCAUCAAGAAAGGAUAGAUGAAGUCAUAUUCAUUUUGCUAUCGAAAGCAAGGCUGAAGGACGGAGUAGAACAUCACUGUGGUAUAUCUCUAUCAUUCGAGAGCCUACUUCCAAGGUUCUGCUUUAAAUUGUUUGGGAUUCUUAAAUGCAUUUCUGCCCUUGUUUUGUCGGGAUUGAUUAUCAUACAGUAGUUGCCUUAGGUACUAAGACCCUUACUAUCAUAACUAUUUAACUUGAUGUCUAUAGUAUUUCGAGUCCAAGAAAGAAGCUUUGGUUGUUCAUCAGUAUUAACUAUUUGAUGCUUGAAGUUUUGGAUGUGCAUUAGUAGUUCCUACUAGUUUCUUCUUGAAUGGAGCUUUGAUAUAGAGGAUUCUUUCUCAAAAGGGUUGCCUUUUAAGUUUCUGAUAAUGCCCAUUUAGGCUCGCCAAUAUCUUUUUUAAAAAUUUUGGUCUAGAAAUGGAUUCAUUUUUUGGUUUCCUUUAUUGCUUCGGUAUUAGCCGAUUUUUGUGUUAAUGUUUCGCACUUACAAGCAUAUCUCGUGGUUGGUUAAUCAAAUUUUAUUUAUUGAAUAUCCAUGUUAUGUCUUUCUCUUUAGUCAAUUACGUAUCGGUUUCCCUUUAUAUACUUUUUCUAUCUCUUUUUUUUCUUAUUUCUUGUUGCUUGCCUCCUUAGUUUUCCUGAAUUUUUGCCUUAUAUCACUGUGUACUUCUAGGGAAUAGAUUUUUGUAAUGUUCUGUAAUGAUACUUUACUUGAUCAUAUUUUUAAAAAAGAUGAGACUUCAUUAAUUUAUUUGAUCGGUAAUCAUAACAUCUUUCUGUCCACCUUUUUCGUGUCCUACAGUUCCAAUUUCAACAUUUUUGGUGUUGUUUUUUUGUCGUAAGAACUAACAUACAUCCUGUGUCUUCCCUUAAGCUCUUAUGGAUGAUCAUGUUUUGUCUAAAAUAUACAGGAGAUACCCACAUCGAUCAAUUAGUGGAAUGAUGACUAGCCUUUGCUGAUUUAACAGCAAAAGGAAGAAAAUAAGAUUUCAUGAAUCAAUUCUUCUUUUGUUAAUUAGUGGGGUAUUUUGCUUUAGACAUAGUUUCAAAAUUUAAACAUUUUGAUAAUUAGUUAGAACUUAUAAGGCUCGUUCGAUCGCCUAAUGAUUAGAUUAAUUCUCAUAUCUUGAUUAUGCCUGUUGUUCGAGUUGACGUGUGUGUCUUACUACUUUCGGCUGUCCCGCGACUAUUUUUUUGGAUCCUUGUUUUUUUUGCUUAUGUAGUUAAUAUGUAUAAAUUUUCUUCAUAUAUACUUAACUCCUCCGGUUGAUCAUGUAUUAGCCAGUCUAGCUUCCUACUUUGGUUGAGCAUGCAUUGAUUUCCUUUAAUCUUCUUUUUCACAACCUUUGCAGAAUAUAUAUUAAUUUGUUUUCUUUUCUUUCUUUGAAUGGAAAUCAUUUGAGUCCUACAUGGACUCAUCCCUUUUUGCAUAUCUAUCAUGGCCAAUGAGGCCUAUUUUUUGAGUCAAGCCCAAAGCCGGUUAAAUUGCACAUGGAUACAAGGAGUCAAAAGAGGAAAAAAUGGGUUAAAGUCCCACAUUUGAAGUAGCUAAGAGACUCAACAAUCUUAUUUUUUAUUUUAUUUUAUUUAAUUAUUUUUGCCUUUAUUUUUUUUACUUACUUAUUUAUUAAUUCAUUCAUUUAUUUGGGGCCUCGAAGCCAAAGUUGUAAAUUUAAUACUGGUGGAACAAGACUCGAGUCAAAGGCUCAAAAACUACAUUAGGACAGGUGAAAUGGGUCAAAAGCCCAAUUAGACUAGGACAGGUCUUGUUGAUUUGGGCCUAAUGGCCUAAAUCUUUUUACUUUCUCCUUCCUUCCCCCUUUUUAUGUGUUUAUUUGCUUAUUAGUUUUGUUUAGACUUAGUUAAAAUCCCUACUAAGUAGCCUAAAUCUAUUUUACACAAGUCUUUGCUAAAAAAUUGAUCACUUUUCUAUAAAUCAAUCUUUUUUAAGUUAGUCAAAAGACGUUUUCAAACAGUCUGGAAAAAGCAAGUCAGAGGAAGUUUUAGGUGCCUUAAAACCUUCCUAAACCAUAGCGAAUUUUCUAUUUUAGAUCGGUUAAGUAACUUUCAAAGGUUUUCGUAAUUCCUUUUCAAAUAAAUUAAGUGGCAACUCUUUAAAAAGUUAAAAUUUUCGCAAAAUAGAAAUGAGGACUCUGCUGGGGAUAUUUUAACUUGGUUCUAACCAAAUGUUUGAUUUCGUCUUUGAUUAACUGUCUAUGUGAUUAUAUGUUCAAUUUUACAGUAUUUAAUUAUUGCAUCUCAUAGCAUUUUCUUGUAUUUAUUUAUAAACUAUUUUGGGGUUUCGUGGAUAUCCUGGCCCCUAUUGUUCAACUCCAAAUAAUGUGUUGGAAAUAUAACGGUUUAUUAGAAUGUGAGUCAUCUGAUGGUUGUUCAUAUUUUCAAACGAAAGUCGUUCUCUUGGGAACCUGGUUCAAACUCACUCUAGAGACCUAGGAUAGAGUGAAACCAAAAACUUAUUUUAGGCAUGAGCUUAGGAACACCCAAUACCCAAAGGGGGUAUUGGGCCCAUUAGAAAACUUGCCCUGCAUCUAUUGACCCUGAAUCAAUUACAGAGGAAUCAUAUUUAUGUAUUGAAGAAAAUAUAUGUUUGUUUAAUUCAAUCCAUUAGCCUUUGUAGUUGAGGGAAGGCUCAUCUUUGUCUGCUUUCGUGUAUGAUAUGGCUCAACUGCAUUCCUUGCAAAAAGUUCAAGAUGGCUAUAGGACCCGAUAAUUUCCUGAAACUAUGGUGGGAUUACAUGAUCAGAGGAUAAAUAAAGAUUGUUAGAACACAUAUCGAGCAUUUACCUUCAUUGAUUGAGAAGGACGCUUGGCCCGAAAUGAUCCACGUGCUGACGACCUUUUAGGAUGAUCAGAAUAUGGUGUUUCGCUUCAGGGAUGUUGAAUUGACUCCCACUAUUGAAGAAGUGUUGAUUUGUAAUGAGAGUAUUGAAAUGUGUUUCAAGAGAAAAGAGACACCCGAUAAGAACAUUCUAGUUCCGGUUGUAUGGGAUCGUCAAGAAAUCAAGGUAUUUUUACUUGAUGAUAAUACCAGGAUAGGGGAACGUGAUGCGAAAAAUAUCUCUUUUCAUGAUUUGUAAAUCCUCUUUGGAAGGUUUAAUUCUUUUCAAAAGUUCGGACAUAAAUUUGAGUUGGAAGCAAAAUGGAAGGAGACAAGAGCAUUUGCAUUUGUGGUAGGCCUACUUGGAACUAUGGUGUUUCCACAAAGGGAAAUGGUGCAAUUAAUCCAAGGUUUGUCACAGUGACCCAUGAACUCUUCUAUGGAAUGAAUUAGGGGAACUUAUCUCCCAUUAUUGUAGCCGACAUAUAUCGAGCUUUGGGAAGAUGUCAAGCCGAGAAUCAUUUCUUUCAAGGUUGCAACCUUAUCUUGCAAUGGUGGAUGAUAAUGCAUUUGGUGAAAAAUCCUAGAAUGGUACAGCCUGAUCAUAAAAUGAGAGAGCAUCUUUUAUCAUCGCAUGACAUGUGGCUGUUCCUGCACAAGUUCAAAAGGGAAAUAUCUCUGGGAUUUUGGUUUAAUACUUUUAGAGAAUUAAGGGAUGAUGAUGUCCAAUGGUCCAUUAAAUAUCUUUUUUCAUGGUGAUACACCAUUCGAGGGGGUGAAUGGCCUUUUCUAGUGCUUCCAUGUUUAGGGGGACCCAUCCCUACAAUCCUGGCAGAGUUCUUAGCUAAUUCGAGAUCAAGCAGGAGACACUCUAAAUCCAGUCUAUGCUUAGAUUCUUCACUGAGUAUGAUGAAGGGGAGUCUCUAAUCAAAGACUACAUGGUAAAUAGAAGGAGAAGAAGAGAGUGGAAGAAAUCUCUUUUCGUAUCUAGUAUGAACCCAAAGUCAGCGAUAGUUACAAGGAGUGGUUGAACAAGAGUCUCGAUGGAGCAUUGAUUCCAGGGCCGAAUAUACAUACUCAGGUUGUUGAUGUAGAAUCAGAGCAUCAUAUCCGACUCCACAGGAUUUGAGAUGAAUUUCAAAAAAAUGAAAUCGCACACAAACAAAUGCAUAUAGAGUAUGCUUUGACUAUACAUAUGUUGAAGAAAGAGUUGAAGCGAGCCAGGCAGGAGGCUGAUGAUGCUAGGCAGUGUCUAAUCGAUUUGGAUAAUAGCAUGGUUUCUCAAAUUGAUAGUAUAGAAAGAAUGACCUACGACAACAAGGCACAGUUGUGCGGGAGUCAUCUGAUUAUCAACAGGUAUCAAAUAUCACAGGAGGUGAACAAGGAUAAGAAGGAAAAGGCAAACGAAGAAGCAUCCAGUAGCUAGUUUUUCUAUUCCCUUGCGUGGGACCUUAUCUUCUUUCAUGUUAUUUCCCUUUCCCCUAAAGAUUGUAUCCCUCUUUGUUAUCUUUUGUAGGUAUUUAUUCCCUUUUACAUAUCUAUAAAAGUUAGGGGUAUAAUGGAUUGUCUUUAAAAAGGUAUAUAUUUUCUUCAAAAUUCAUUAGGCCCAAAUCCUUGGCUCAAAAAGGGUCACCUCAGUAGGAUACAUGGUAUUAUAAUGUUUAUGUGAUAUAACUGUCUUAUGUGUUUAUGUGUGUUUGUUUGAAUCAAAGGUAAAUUUAUCCACUAUGCUCCCACGAAUAAGUUUAUCUAUGGCACCAACAACUCUAUGUGGUUACUUCUUGUCAAGUAUCUUGCAUUACCGAUCACGUAUGGAAACUAACACAUCAACCUUUGAGUUAUUUUACUUUACAGAUAGUUGAAAACUAUUUAGUAUUGAAAUAAGCUGGAAGAACAUUCUUACUUCACUCGGUCGAAAGCGCAUAAGAUCCCAUCCUCUGACCAUCAUUCAAAAAUGACCAAAAAUGAUGAAGAAAAUGCGUUGACCAUCAGGGACAAUGUAAUACCAAAACAAAGAGAGAUGAUUGUCAAGCUCGCGAGAAUAUUGGAAAUGCUUCAGGAGGAGAUGAAUCGUACCCGAGAUUUGGAUAACCUGGCCAUCACUAUCAAUGCUCCCACUCCAGGAGGACACAUAACUCCACUCCAUAUCCCUCCCCUUAGUAUGCCUAUUCUCAGGAAUCAUCCAAAUAAUAUAUCGUCUAUCUCUGCUCCUCAACUUGUCCAAAACACCAACCGAGAAAAUAACCAGAUGCUUACCAUCCAUAACAUCCACAAAACCCGUCUCCAAAUCCAUAAAAUUCAUUCUCAAAUUCCCAGAAUCCAUUUUCAAACCCACAAAAUCCACUUCCAAAUCCAAAAAAUUUGCUCUCAAAUCUACAGAAUCUAUCCCCAAAUCUACCAAAUCCAUCUUAGAAUCCACAAAAUCCAUUUCCAAAUUCACAAAAUCCUUCUCAAAUCCCACUAAACUAUUCUUAAAUUCCACAAAACUUUUCUAAUUUCCAAAAUAUUCUCCCCACCUACCAACCAACCUCCUCUCAUCCUCAAAAUUAAUCUACUCUUCUAAAUAUCUCUCAUAUCACCAUAUCCCCUAAUAUCUAUAAUUCUUUUCCCAAUCCUGAGAUUGACCAUUACGAGGAGAAGGAAAAGAAGUGGAGGAUCGAGCGUGAAAUGAAGUUGUUCGAUAUGAAUGAAAAGAUUAUAAGGAUCAAUGAAUCUCAUAGGACGGGGGACAAUGAUGGCCUUGGUUACGAUGAUCUAUGUGCUUACCCUGGAGUAGAUCUACCAUAAGGAUACAAGGUCCCUAAAUUUGAGGUGUUCAACAGUAAUGGAAAUCCGAUGUCCCAUCUGAGAAGGUAUGGUGAUCAAAUGGUGGGGGUAGGAAAAAAUAAGGCAUUAUUGAUGCGCUUAUUCAGCCGAAACUUAAGCGGCGAAGCCUUAGAUUGGUUCACAUCUCAAGAACUGAAAAGAUGUACUAGUUGGAGGGCAUUGUCUAAGGGUUUCCUUAAUAGGUUUGCAUUUAACAUUGAAAUAGUCCCUGACUAAUACUCAUUAGACCGAAUUAAUCAAAAGAAUGAUGAGUGCUUUCGGGACUAUGCCUUCUAUUGGAGAAAAGAAACUGCCAAAGUACAACCUCCUAUGUCUGAGGAAAUGAUGGUGUCUAUGUUCUCUCGCGCUUAGGAGGGAGAAUAUUAUACUAGGAUAGUAUCUGCAGUCAGAGCAACUUUUGUAAAUUUGGUAAAAAUUGGGGAAUCGCCAGAAGAAGGCAUUUGAAUGGGAAAGAUUGUUAGAACUCCAACGUCAUCUAGGAUUUUUGUGUUCCCAAAAAAGAAAAAAGAAUAUGUAGGCGCAGUCUCUGCUGAUUCUGUUACUAAAUUUAAGAAAUAAUUCAAGCCUAGGAACAGUCUCUCCUCUCCUCCGUCACCAAAUUUUCAGCAUGUGUGCUACACCCAACCCCAAUACCAAGCUCCACUCCCAAAUACUCAAUCUUAAUACCAAGCUCCACUCCCAAAUAUCCAAUCCCAAUACCAAGCUCCACUCUCAAAUAUCCAAUCCCAAUACCAAGCCCCAUAGCCAAAUAUCCUACCUCAAUACCAAGUUCCGCAACUGAAUUAUCAACCUCAUGCUCAAGCUGCCCUUCUAAAUAACCGAACAAGUGAUCAAGCACCUCUAAAUUAUCAUCAAGUACCUCCUCCUUUUAAACGGAAGCAUUAUAACCCCCCACGUCCAAACCUUAAAAAAAGACCUUGAAACUUCACGCCAUUGGCCAAGAGUACCCAACUCUUUGGGAGAUUAAAGGACGCUGGUCAUUUAUAGGCUAUCUAACCAAAAAUUAUCAAUGCCAAUUCUUGAUUUCAAUAGGCUAAUCAAAAUUAUGCCUAUUACUCGGGAGUGGUAGGGCAUAGUACCGAGGAUUGCAUUAACCUGAAGCAUAGAAUCCAAGACUUGAUUAAUCAGAAGAUCAUCACGCUUCAGUCACCGGCACAAAAUUUCAACAGUAAUCCCUUGCCCAAUCAUUGGGGAGCUGCAGUUAACAUGAUUGAAAUAAAAGGCGAAUGGGUGUCUAGCAAGACCAUUACUAAGGUGAAUUCAAAAAAGUUCAAAUGAAUGGAAGAAGUGAAGAAGAUAGAGAGGGUCGUAGCUUCCUUAAUUGUCAAUGCAAAGCCUCCAUUUAUAGUAAUGACAGCCUCAAUUUAGGUGUACACUCAUCCAUCUAAGAAGGAAUUUAUUGUAGAGACUCACUGCCCAAGGGAUGCCACGAUCUGGGUGAUGCUACAUCCCUGAAGAUUUAACCAAUAGGAAGGAUUCAUAGAAAAGUCCAAUCACUAAAGAGGAGGUCGAGGAAUUUUGGAGGCGUAUGAAACCAAAAGACUACUCAAUUGUCAAGCAUUUAGAGGAGACUCUAGCCCAUAUUUCUAUUUUGGCACUACUAAUGAAUUCACAAUACCACCUACAAGCUUUAUUAAAGGUCUUGGAUAAAACGUAUGUUCCCAUAGGCAUGAGUGUCGAGAAGCUAGCUACUAUGAUACGAAAUAUUAUGGGAAGUUAUUGUUUAUCCUUUAAUGAAGAAGAGUUGCCUUUUGAGGGAGUAAUGCAUAACAAAUCCUUGCACAUCACUGUCGUUUGUCGAGACUAUGUGAUUAAUCGGGUAUUGAUAGAUAACGGAUCUGAUUUGAAUAUUUGUCCUCUGUCCAUAUUGGUUUAAAUAUGCUAUGAUUUAGGGAAAAUUUGCCAAAGCCACGUAAAUGUGUGGGCAUUUGAUGGAGGACACAGAGAUACCAUAGGUGAAAUCGAUCUGUACAUCCAGAUGAGUCUUACUAAAUUCAAGUCUAGAUUUCACAUUAUGGAUAUCCAUCCUAGUUAUAACCUGCUCUUGGGAAGACCAUGGAUCCAUGGUGCAAAGGCAGUUUCAUCGACCCUUCAUCAGUUACUGAAGUUUAUUUAGGAGGAUCAUAAAAUAGUUAUUCAAGGGGAAGGAAGCCAUGCAAAUCAUCCCAAUGGUUGUGGGCCGAUAAUUAAAGAUAUCUCAAAGGGUAGUAGUUUCUAUACUAUGAAAAUUGUGAAUGCUGCAGAGAAAGAUUUGAUGCCCAAAGCUCCAAUGCCUUCUGUCUACAAAAUAAUUUUGACUGUUAUGUUAAGAAAUGGGUUCGAGCUUGGUCAAGGCUUGGGAAAGGAUCUGGAAGAAAUUAUUGAGCCCAUUAUGGUCCUAGAUAAAGCGUCUAAGUAUGGGCUAGGAUACCAGCCGAUAGAGGAGGAUGAGAAUAAGUCAAAGGUGAGUUUAUCUAGGCCCUUGCCGCUCCUGUACCAAUUAUUUCCCAUGCGUGAGAUGCCAAAUUAUGAUGGUCUUGGGAUGGGAUAGGAAAUUUGUUCGAAGGAUACAAUGCUGAACCAGAUGAUUUCCCUAAGUCCAGUGGGGUGAAGAAGGUUGCACCAGGAGAGGCUUUGCAAAAUUUGACCUCUACACCACUAAUAACCCGUCACCCACCAUGGUAGAUGAAAGGGAAAUUACUAGUAGUUUUUAAAAUUAGUGAUGAUCCGGAGAAGGCCCCGCUAUCCACCAUUCAUGUCUCAAACUUCCUUUUUAUAUUUUACUAUUUUCAAAAAGGCAUGGGCCUCCGGGUCAUGAGCCAUAGUUUAUACUUAUUUCCCAAAUUUCAAUGAAAAGGCCUCCUUUUAUUUAAGAAAAGAAAGUUAGAAUCAUCUGACCCAUCUGGAAAAAAAUUUCAACAGAUUAAGAUAGUACAAUUUGAAUUUGAAUCCUGUUAAGUGUGCUUUUGGUAUGCCAUUCGGGAAAUUAUUGGGGUUCAUAGUAAGCAAAAGGGGCAUCGAACUAGACCCAUCCAAAAUCAAAACAAUUCAGGAUUUGCCACCGCCAAGGACCAAGAAAGAGGUUAUGAGUUUCCUGGAUCAUUUGAAUUACAUUAGCAGGUUCAUUUCCCAGCCAACAGUCAUAUGUGAGCCAAUUCUCAAGAUAUUGAAAAUAAAUGAAUUGAAUGAGUGGACAGAAGAUGUCAGAAAGCUUUUGACCGAAUUAAGGAAUAUUUUUCUGAACCGCCAAUUUUGGUUCCACUAAGGGAAAGAAAUUCUUUGUUGCUUUACCUGUCAGUCUCAGAAAAUGCUUUCAGAUGUGUCUUCGGGAAAUAUGAUGAGACCGGUAAGAAAGAGAAAGCCAUCUACUACUUAAGUAAAAAGUUUAUGUCGUAUGAAUUCCGCUACACUCUUAUAGAAAGGACAUGUUGUGCUUUAACUUGGGCCGCACAAAAGUUGAGGCAUUAUCUGUCGUCAUACACAACAUACCUCAUUUCCAAAAUGGAUCCAUUGAAGUAUAUAUUCCAGAAAGCCAUGCUUAUGGGAAAGCUAGCCAAGUGACAAAUAUUGCUGAGUGAGUUCGACAUUGUGUAUGUGACUCAAAAGGCAAUAAAGGGGAAAGCCUUAGUAGAUUAUUUAGCAGAGAAUCCGAUUGAUGACGAAUAUAAGACGCUUCGAACAUACUUCCCAAAUGAAGAGAUUUUAUUUAUAGAAAAAGACAUCAUGGAGAGUUAUCCCAGAUGGAGGAUGUUCUUUGAUGGAGCAUUCAAUUUUAAAGGUUCAGGAAUCGAAGCAGUUUUAGUGUCAGAAAUAGGACAACACUAUCCAGUAACAGCUAAGUUGUGUUUCCUAUGCACCAAUAACAUGGACGAAUAUAAAGCUUGCAUCCUAGGAAUCAAAUUGGUGCUUUAUAUGGUUUUUCAUGAAUUUCUAGUCAUCAAAGACUCAGAUUUGUUGAUUCAUAAAGUACAAGGAGAGUGGGCGGUAAAGAACUCCAAGAUUAGUCCUUAUAUGGAGCUGGUGCAAGAAUUAAGUGGUAGAUUCAAGGAAGUUGACUUCAGACAUAUCCCAAGGAUACAGAAUGAGUUUGAUGAUGCUUUGGACACUAUAUCCUCCAUAAUUCAACAACCGAAUCAGAGUUACAUCGAUUCUUUAGAAAUAAGCUUGAAAGAGUAACCCACGCAUUGUGUGCAUGUCGAAGAGGAUCCUGACGGAAAGCCAUGGUACUAUGAUAUUAAAAGGUAUAUAGAAUCUGGAAUAUAUCCUGAAGAGACAAGCAACAAUAAAAAAAAGAAGAUCCGACGUCUGGCAAAAAAUUAUUUUCCAAGUGGGGAAAUCCUUUUAGGAGUACUCCAGAUUUAGGAUUCUUAAGAUGUGUUGACACUGCAGAAGCAAUAAAUUAAUAAAAAAAAGUACACGCUAGAGUUUGCGAGCCCCACAUGAAUGGGUUUGACAUUGCUAUAAAGAUCCUGAGAACUGGUUACUUCUGGAUGAUUAUGGAAAAUGAUUGUAGCAAGUAUGUGCAGAAGUGUCCAAAAUAUCAGAUACACAGAGAUUUGAUUCAAAUGCCGUCAUAUGAGCUUUAUGCGAUGAGUUUACCUUGGACUUUCUUAGCUUGGGGUAUGGAUGUUAUCGGAUCAAUAGAACCCACCACAUAAAAUGGGCAUAGAUUUAUUUUGGUUGCUAUUGAUUACUUUACUAAGUGGGUCGAAGAUACUUCAUAUAGAUCCAUCACCAAGAAAGUGGUUGCGGAUUUCGUUAGGAAUAACCUAAUUUGCCGAUUUGGAGUACCAGAAUCGAUCAUUGCUGAUAAUGGGGAAAACUUGAAUAGUCAGUUGAUGAAUAAAAUUUGUGAUCAGUUCAACAUCGUGCAUCACAACUCGACUGCAUAUCGUCAACAGAUGAAUGGAUCCAUGGAAGCCGCCAAUAAGAACAUCAAAAGGAUAUUAAGGAAGAUGGUCAAAAAUGAUAGGUCAUGGCAUGAGAUGUUGUCCUAAGCUCUACUAGGGUAUUGUACAACAGUUCGAACUUCCACCGGGGUGACUCCUUAUUAAUUUGUUUAUAAGAAUGAAGUUGUGAUACCUGUUGAGGUUGAGAUACCUUCUUUAAGGACUAUUCAGGAAGCCGGACUAAGUAACGAUGAAUGGGUUCGCUCUCUCUAUGAACAAAUCAUGUUGAUUGAUGAAAAGAGAAUGGUUACCAUGUGUCACCAGUUGCACCAACAUAGGAUGGUCCGUGCCUUCAACAAGAAAGUACAAACUCAAAUAUUUGAAUUCGGAAAAUUAGUUCUCAAGCGCAUGUUCCCACACCAAGAAGAGUAUAAAGACAACUUCGCUCCGAACUGGCAAGGGCCAUACAUAGUUCGCAAGGUACUAUCCGGAGGAGCUCUGAUUCUAUCUGAGAUGGAUGGCCAAGAGUUGACCAAACCAAUUAAUUCUGAUGUGCUAAAGUGGUACUAUGUUUGAAGGAUGUUCUAGUUUUUGUUUCCUUAGUUUAUUUGUAAUCAUAUUUUUAAUAAUGUUUAUUUUCUACUAUGUAAUUGCAUAGAAUCCCUUUUCUUUUAUGUAUGAAAUACGUUUGACCUGAAUUUCCAAAAAAAGAUACGUAGGCGGCCUAUAUCGGCUUCGAUCAACCUCUUAGGAAAAUUUAUCCUUUCCUUUCAUGUAUGAACUAUGUGGUGACUUGAAUUCACAAAAAGAAAUACGUAGGCGGCCUAUGCCGGCUUCUGUCAACCCAUUAGAUUUUCCAUAUAUCCUUAGCGUAGUCCUGAACUACUUUUGACCUGAUUCCUGCUUCAACGAGAUAUGUAGGCACCCCAACGGUUCGGUUAUAUAACCCCAAGAAAUAGAAACUGGGGCAGAAUUUUCGAGAAGAAAUCUCAAAAAUUCACAAGAGGAAGAUCAAAGAGAAUGAAGAUCGACAAAGACUUCAGAUCCUCUCAAGCUGAGAUCAUCUCAAACAACUCUAAGCUGGGGAAGAAAUUUUGAGGAAGGCCUCAAAAUUUCCACCAAACACUGGAAUAUAUUUCAAAUUCCCUAACACUAGAAGUCAAAAGUCAAAGUUUUGAAAAUUACCGGCUGCGACAAAGUUUAGGUAGAAUCAUUCACCAGCUAUAAUAAAACAGUUUGAAGAACCCUCCAAUAAUGAUGAUGAGUUUUGAAAAUCCUCCGUCGGGUAUACUCAAACCAAGAGGAAGACGUUCGUUGAGCUAGUUCAUGACAUGACUGGCAGAGAUUUUCUAAAGCUUUUGCAGAAAAUUUUAAAACUAUUUUCUAAAUUAAGACUACUCUAAAAAAUCUAUACAAAUAUUUUACUUAGUGAUUUCCUUGGCGUCUAUUGGAACAGGGAGUCAGGGAGGAGGUCCCAACAUGAUGGAGUACCCAAAAAAUGGUGAAGAGCAAACCAAGGAUCGAAGGAGAUCAACACAGAGUAGUUUCUAAAACUAAUCAUUUUUCUGUGGAUGCAGGGAUCAAUACACAAAAAUCAGAGUCUUUUUCAAAAAUCCCAAAGCAAGUUGGGAGCCACACCAAAGCAUAUAAUGUUCAAGAACAGUAUUUUUGGGUAUCCCUAAAAAUAGGUUUAAUACCCAUUUAUAGAGGACCUUUUGAAUUGUCUAUCUCAUUUCUUAAGACCAUGAAAGAAAAACGAGAGCGCCUUAUCUUCUUUAUCAAUAUUUUAUUUAGAAUUUUCCUAAAAAUAGUCGGUAGAAAAAGCGACUUUGUGUCUACUAAAUAUUUAUUUUGAGCGCAGGUGCAUUUAAGGGAGUCAGCACAACAAAUACGACAAUCAAAAGGGUUGCUCAACAGGAGGAAGAGCGGAAAGUCAUUCUCAAAAUUUGCCUUAAAGCGAAGCAAACAGUAUUUGAGUAACGCCUAAAUAAGGACUUUUCCACAUUUACUUGCAUCCGAUGGUUUUUCUAUUUAAUUAUUUCUUCUAAAAAGAGAAGAUUAAUAGUGGAAUAAGUCAUUCAAAUCCUGAUACUCAGUAUUUGUCAUUAAACUGUCAUAAAUCUUGACUGUAGUUGCCAGUGAGAGCGACAUUGUAUUUGCUAACUGUCUACCUUGAGUACAGGUACAUGUAGAAAGAAAAACGAAGACAAGCCAACUUAAGUGAAACUAUUUUCAAAUCCCCGUAAGAACUAUUUCAUAUCAUCUCAUUGCCAAGAGGGCCAUUUAAUAUCCGUUGACACGAGAGACAUAAACACUAGCAUCAAGGAUAUCAUUAGCAUUUAAUAUUUGUUGACAAGUGAUACGCAAAUGCUAGCAUCAAGGAUAUCACCAGUAUUCAAUAUUUGUUGACAUGCGAGACAUAAAAGCUAUGUUGAGGAUAUCAUCAAUAUUCAAUAUUUGUUGACACGUGAGACAUAAACGCUGGCAUAAAAAAUAUCAUUAGUAUUCAAUAUUUGUUGACACACGAGACACAAACGCUGGCAUUGAGGAUAUCAUCAGCAUUCAAAUAUAUGUUGACACGUGAGACACAAACACUGGUGUCGAGGAUAUUAUCAAUAUUUAAUAUCUGUUGACACGUGAGACAUAAAUGUUGGCAUCAAGGAUAUCGUCAGUAUUCAAUAUUUUUUGACACACAAGACACAAACGAUGGCAUCGAGAAUAUCAUUAGUAUUCAAUAUCUGUUGACACGUGAGAGACAAACACUAGGGUCGAGGAUAUCAUCAGUAUUCAAAUAUUUGUUAACAUACGAGACACAAAUGUUGGAGCUGAGGAUAUCAUCAACAUUUAAUAUCUAUUGACACGCGAGACACUAAUGCUGGUGUUGAGGAUAGCUCAUCAUUUUAUGAAUCAAUAUCUGAAUGUAUCAAGAGCACAUAAUUUGAAGGGACGCCUUUAAGUCGCUAUAUGAAGAUGAGUGAUAUAUGAGAUUUCUAAGAAAUUGACAAUUUGAGGGUCAUUUAUAAGUCAUAUUAUUUGAAAUAGGAUAGUGUGCAAGAUUACCUCUGAGUUGAUAUCCCAUAGGUCAUCCGUAAGCCGCAACAACAUCCGAACUGGAUAGUGUACAAGGUUACUCAAAAAUUAAUAGUCUGAAGGUUAUCCAUCAGUCGCAACUAAAUCCUUACCGGAGAAUAUAUGAGAUUAUUAAAUUAAGUCCAAGGGUUCUCUAUAAGCCGCGUUAUAUCCAAGAUCAAUUAUGUGCAGUAUUACCCAAGGACUACCAAUUUGAGAAUACCUAUAAGCCAUAUUGUAUCCAAGGUCGGAUGAUGUGCAGGAAUACCUGAGAACUAGCGAAUAGAGAGAUAUCUGUAAGCCAUCUCUUAUCUAAGGUAGGAUAAUGUGAGGGAUUACCUAUGGGCUAGCAAUUCAAAGUAUAUCUUUAAGUCGCCUCAUAUCCAACAUCAAAUAAUGCAUAAGAUUAUACAAAGAUUGAUCAUUCUAGGGAAAUCUAUAAGUCAUAUCAAUACAAAAGAUGUGCAAGACUUUUUUGAGAUCAUAUGCAAAGAACUAUCAUCAAUAACCAGAAAGGUUAUCAUUCCACAAGUAUUAUAGGUGACUUAAAAAGGUUUCCGCAUCAACAUAAGAUUAAGUGGUUGCAGGGACCAUUCUAGAUAUAGUGUCAUCGGUGUCCAAAAAGGGCCACCCCACUUUGAAAACAUAUUCAACCGAUAAAUGAGAUAAUUAUACAACAAACAAGAGAGCUGUUGGGUCAGUUAUUUCAAGUUGUUUCCUUCCAAACAGGUACAUGAGAAGAAUAACUUCAUUUUUUUUUUAAUAACAACUCAUGUGGAGGUAUGGUAAGAAACUAAAUACCUCUUUCGUGAAUUGUGCUUAUAACUAACAAUUUUGUUUGAAACAUUAUCGAGAGAAUAUGAGAGGAUGAAAAUCUCAAAUCAAAAUCAUAGAUGCGAACGACUCCAUAUAGGACGCAGCACAACAUGGAACUCUUUCUUAGCAUCAAAAUGGGACAUCGUCUAGAGAGGGACGCCAGACUCUCUGGAUGCGAGCUAAAGGAUGACCACCACCACCAUAUAACCACACCCCUGUUAGAAGGCAUGUGGGUAUUUUGGGAUAUUCUGGUUUCAUCUUCACCUUCGAAAUAUUUCUAAACUCAUGCCGAGGAUAAACUUCUCUUUCUUUCAAAUUCAAGUGAUAUGACGCCUAGAGUUUUGGAAAUUAUGUCCAGGUAAGUUCUUGCCUAUGGAUGUGAAGGAUCCCACAUUCAUGGUUAAUAGGUUACAAGCCUCUUUUUCAUAACUCGAACAACUUGUCACUCAUCCCGAAUCAAAGAUCGUCUAAAAUAAAAAACUAUCUUUUCUACCGAUUGAGUCAAACUACAACCAGUCUGCUUCCCUGAGACUCGAGGAUAUGUAGGCUGGGAUUUAUUUUGAAAACUCAACUGUAUUCCAACCUUCCCUCAGAUCCCUCUAUAUUCCCCAGCUUUUUGGUUUUCUCAAAAACUCCAAAAUUGAGAUAGUCUGUAAUUUUUUGAAAUCGUACUUUGAAUCAAGCUUUAUGAACUAGAAGUGACCUGAUAUCUCAUGUAACUUGAUAUAUGUAGGAAACACGAUACCGAGGUCCGGCCAUAACUCUAUGAAACUCGUGCGAAAGCCAACCUCUUUCAGAUUCAAAUUUGUGGUUGGACAAAAAAUUAGGAACGUAAACCUCCCUUUGCCCAGGGUUACUUGCAUCCACCCUUCCCAAAGGGAGGGGGGAAGUUGUUGACACCUAAUUUUUGCCCUCCACGACUAAAUUUAAUUCUGAGUUUCUUCGAUUUUUAAUAAAAUUGAAAUAUUUAUUUCAUCUGAAUAAAAAAAUUUCAAAAUAUUUUUUGUACGUAAUUUUAUCAUGUUAAGUAGUGAUUAUAUAUUAUCAUUAUAUGAGAUUAUAUAAUUUGAUUACUUAAAUAUUUAUUCUAUCAAAUAUUGAAUUUUAAUUCAGGAUUAUUCUAAAAAUAAAUGUACUGAUUAAAGUCUUAAUUUUAAUAUAAUUUAUUAUCAAAAUAAUUUAUUUGGAUAAAAAUGCAUUUGAUUUUAUUAAAUCAAGAAGCUCAGGAUUAAAGAAAGUAUUAAUUCGUUUCGAAUUUUAAUUUAAUUUGGUCAAUCUAUUAGAUUUGACCAUAAUUGAAAUUAAAUUGACCAUAAUUUUCAUGCAAUUGGCCAAUUAACUUUUAAUUUGGUUAAAAUGUAAAUAGAAUGGGCCAAAUUAAAAUUGAGAUUAAUUUCGAAUAACCCCAAAUCUAAUUGGGGUUAUUUUCUAAAUAACCCUAUAAUCUACCUAAUACCCAAUUCUGCCAAGCCCAAAUAUACCCAGUCAGCGCAAUAAUUAAUUAAACCAACACCCAAAUAACCCAAGAUCAAAAAAAUAAUUAUCCAACAAUCAGCAAGCCGAAAGCAGCCCAAAUCUCACUGACCUAGCCCAUUAAAGCCUCUGACCUUGCCCAUUCUCCAUAUAUUACACACAACAACAAAAGCUUCACAGAACAAUGGCAAAAUUCCAAAGCACCGACAACAACACAGCUAACGACAAUCGACCCAUCUCCAACGACCCGACUAGCGGUGACCCAUCCAAACGCAAAACCAACCCAAUUUCAACGCAUACAAAAUAAACACUCGUAAGAGACAAACCUCAACAAUGAUUAUUAGAAACGGUCGAUUCUAGCACAUAGGAACAACACCUCAAUCUUUGUCCUUUCUCAUCCAAAUUCAUACCAUACGUGGCUUGAAUUGCCUUAAUCUCCAAAGAUAUUAUUCGAAUUUCAAAUUUUUGGAAUCAAUUUCCCCCCAAAUCCAUGGAACUUAUAGAACAUUCUGAGAAUUUCUACCUAUUGGCUCUUCAUUGGUCGAUUGUAAGGGAAAUAACGAUGACCCCUCUCAUCAUCGUCCAUUUUUGUAGAGAUUGAUUCAUGGCCAUGUGAUUUAAGUUUUUUUUACCCAAAUCCCACAUCGAUGGACAGGAAUUCGUCCCUCAAUUCGCCUCUGAAUAAGGAGCUCACUGUUGAGCUGGGAGGAGGGUUGGAAAAAAAAAUUCACAAAGCAAAAACACACACAAAAAAGGGAAAAAAAUUGGUCGCAAGAAUUGGUGAGAAUUUUCGUUAGUAAAAUUUUUAGGAAAGGCAGUCGUCUAGUGGAGCCUUUUGUAGCGGCAUUGAAAUUUUUGGUGGUGGUGAAGUCCAAAGGAACUCGAGGUUCUAUUUUGCUACUCCCGAACUGGUAAUAUCCCAUUCCAUUGAUCUUUCAAUUGUUUCUACUUCAUCAUGACCUUCUGUAGUUGUGAGUAAGUGUUCAGUAAUAUUUUAUGCUGGGUUGUUUGCUGGUAGAUGGCUUUGAUAGCCGUAGGUUUCAUUCGUGAUAGUUAUCAUCAUGUCGAUAUUUGAAUCAAUGUGUACGAUGUUACUGCUUAGUACUGUUAAGGACAUGUUCUUAACCAAAACACUUUAAAUCCAUUAUUUUUAUCUAUGUUCUUUCUUUUGAUUUAUGGCAUGUUAUAUGGUCUGAACAACGUUUAUUGAUGGAUUUUUGAUCAAAUACUCUCAUUUUGUAUACUGGUUGAUAUUUGAAUAAGCUGGUUUCACAGUAAAGUUUCAUGCUUUGAAUUUGUUUAGUAGUGUCAGGCUAACGAUGUUUUGUUAUAGGUAGUUUCAUAAUAAAGUUUCAUGCUUUGAAUUUGUUUAGUAGUUUUGGGCUAACGAUGUUUUGUUAGAGUUGGUUUCAUAACUAAAGUUUCAUGCUUUGACGCGUUUGAUAGUCUCGGGCUGAUAACCGUCUUGAUUAGUUGUUACAUCUUUGGCUGUCUACCUUGCCAUUUUUAGUUUGUUUGUCAUGCCUUUUGAUAUCAAAAAUCUGAAAUUUAGAUUUCUGUUUGCUUUCGAUUUGUGUGUUCUGAAUAGAAAGUAAAUUUGAUAGUGUUUUAUUGAAUUGCCAGAUACUUGAAUAGGUCAGUUUGAGGAGAAUGUCUCUACUUUUGUUGCUAUUAUGCUAUACGCAUAGUUUAUGUUUGGACUGAGGAUUCCCUGAGAUUUCUUUUCCUUGGUCAAUAUAAUCAAGAAAAGAGGAAUGAAGUCAUAUUCAUUUUGCUGUCGAAAGAAAGACUGAAGGACGGAGUAGAACAUCACUAUGGUCUAUCUCUAUCUUUCGAGAGUCUGUUUCCAAGGUCCUGCUUUGGAUUGUUUGGGAUUCAUAAAUGCAUUUCUGCCCUUAUUUUGUCGGAUUUGAUUAUCAUACAGUAGUUUCCUUAGGCACUAAGACCCUUACUAUCAUAACUAUUUAACUUGAUGUCUAUAGCAUUUCGAGUCCAAGAAAGAAGCUUUGGUUGUUCAUCAGUAUUUGCUAUUUGAUGCUUAAAGUUUUGCCUACGCAUUAGUUGUUCCUACUGGUUUCUUCUUGAAUGUAACUUUGAUAUAGAGGAUUCUUUCUCAAAAGGGUUGCCUUUUAAGUUUCUAAUAAUGCCCCUUUAGGCCUGCCAAUAUCUUUUUUAAAAAUUUUGGUCUAGAAAUGGAUUCAUUUUCUGGUUUUCUUUAUUGGUUUGGUAUUGGCCGAUUUUCGUGUUAAUGUUUCUCCCUUACGAGCAUAUCUCCUUGUUGGUUAAUCGAAUUUUAUUUAUUGAAGAUCUAUGUUAUGUCAUUUUCUUUAGUCGAUUAGGUAUCGGUUUCCCUUUAUAUGCUUUUUCUAACUGUCUCUAUCUUUUUUUCUUUAUUUCUUAUUGCUUGCCUCCUUAGUUUUCCUAAAUUUGUGUUUUAUAUUACUGUGUGCUUCUAGGGGAUAGAUUGAUGUAAUGUGUUGUAAUGAUACUUUACUUGAUCAUCUUUAUAAAAAGGACGAGACUUCAUUAAUUUAUUUAAUCAGUAAAUCAUAGCCUCUUCUUUCUCUCCACCUUUUUUGUGUCCUACAUUUCCAACUUUUAACAUUUUUGGAGUUGUUUUUUUUGUCGUAAGAACUAACAUGCAUCCUGAGUCUUCCCUUUAACACUUACUCUUUGCGGGAUAUAUAUUAAUGUGUUUUAUUUUCUUUCUUUGCAUGGAAAUUAUUUGAGUCCUACAUGGACUCGUCCCUAUUUGCAUAUCUAUCAUGGCCAAUGAGACCUAUUUUUUGAGUCAAGCCCAAAGCCGAUUAAAUCGUGCAUGAAUACAAGGAGUUGAAAGAGGAAAAAUGGGUUAAAGUUCCACAUUUGAAGUGGCUAAGUUACUCAAAAGUCUCAUUUAUUAUUCUAUUUUAUUUUAUUUAAUUAUUGUUGCAUUUAUUUAUUUUAUUUACUUAUUUAUUCAUUCAUUCAUUUAAUUGGGGUCUCGAAGCCAAAGUUGUAAAUUUAAUACAGGUGGAGCAAGACUCGAGCCAAAGGUUCAAAAAUUAGAUUAGGACAGGUGAAAUGGGUUGAAAGCCCAAUUAGACUAGGAUAAGUCUCAUUGAUUUGAGCCCAAUAGCCUAAAUCUUUUUGUUUUCUCCUCCCUUUCCCCUUUUGUGUGUUUAUUUAUUUAGACUUAGUUAAAAUCCCUACUAAAUCGCCUAAAUCUAUUUUACGCAAGUCUUUGCUAAAAAUUUGAUCACUUUUUAACAAAUCAAUCUUUUUGAAGUUAGUCAAAAGAUAUUUUCAAACAGUCCGGAUAACCGCAAGUUAACGGACGUUUUAGGUGCCUUAAAACCUUCCUAAAACGUUAAUAGGAACCGCUUACUCAGAAUCUUUGAAACUUAAAUGAUAUGUUUGUUUUGGAUCGUUUAAGUAACUUUCAAAGGCUUUCUUAAUUUCUUUUCAAAUAAAUUAAGUGGCGACUCUUAAAAAAGUUAAAAUUUUUGCAAAACACAUGUAUUUAGAAUGUCGGGAUAAAGAUAAGGGCUAUUAAACAGAUGCCUUUUAAACAUUAGCUUUAACUAUGUAGCUUGUAAUAUUCUAGGCACCCAUAGGCUAUACGGGUUUUACUUCUUUUGCUGGAAGGGUCUUAGUCCAUAUUAUCAGCACGUACCGAGGAAUGGCUAAAGACACCAAGGCGAUAGCCAUCCAAAAUAUAUUGUGUAUCUAGACACAGAGGUCAUGUCGACCUUCAAUGCCGGCAAAAGUGGUUUUAAGUGUUGGUCCCCUUUCCCUCGGGACUAUACCUUAUCGAUGAGCUACACAAUUCCCUUUAAGCUCAAAUUAAAAUAAUUUGCACAUAAAUCAACCAUUAACCAACGAGUCUUUCAUUAAGGCAUUUUAUCAUUGUACCAAUAUGAUUGCAAGUUAUUCCAUCUUUGCCAAACUAAUCCAUAUAACCAAAUUGACUACAAUUGCUAGCUUUAAAAUCCAAAUCAUAGCCACUAAGCGAAUCCAAAACCAUUUUAUCCAUUUAUCCUUUAAUUCUAUGCAAUUUUUUCAAAAGAUAAGCUAGCUUGUGUGAAAAUUCAUAUUCAAAUCCAAGAUUAUAAUGUGGCGUGAGGUUAAUGUCAUCAUCAUGCAAAAAGUUCAUCAAUAUGGUGAAAUCCAUGUCACCCAUUUUAACCAUUAUAACAAUGCACAAAUUUAGUUCCAAAAGUCAUCAAUUAAAGCAUGGAUAACCCACUAAAAAUAAGAGAAAAGUAAUUCUAGCGCUAACAAACAAAAACCCUCAACUCAAGUUUAAACCCAUCAUUCAAAAUACAUGAAUAUUGAAUAAAUUGAUGCAAUAAUAUAAAAUAUAAUAUAGGGAGUGUAAAACAUGCCUUAUUUGAAGAGAAUCUUUGAAGAAGAUAGGAUGACUUGAACCUACAAACCUUGAAAUUGAGGAAUCCUUCUUGAUGUUCUUGGGAGAAAUAGAAUGAGGAAUUUUGGGAUCCUUCUACUAGUUUUGGAUGACCUUAGAGUUAUAAAAUGGAUUGGGGGAGUUAUAAGGAGUGAAAGGACCAUUUUGCCCUUGAUUUAAUAUGGGAAAAACAUGUUUUAACAUCUAGGAAGGGAGGGUCACGCCUCGAUUCCCAUCG